rnacentral:misc_RNA from 1 species
GAUGAAGAACGCAGCGAAAUGCGAUAAGUAAUGUGAAUUGCAGAAUUCAGUGAAUCAUCGAAUCUUUGAACGCACAUUGCGCCCGCCAGUAUUCUGGCGGGCAUGCCUGUUCGAGCGUCAUUUCAACCAUCAAGCCCCCGGCUUGUGUUGGGGACCUGCGGCUGCCGCAGGCCCUGAAAACCAGUGGCGGGCUCGCUAGUCACUCCGAGCGUAGUAAUACAUCUCGCUCAGGGCGUGCUGCGGGUUCCGGCCGUUAAAAAAGCCUUAUUUACCCAAGGUUGACCUCGGAUCAGGUAGGAAGGCCCGCUGAACUUAAGUAUAUCAAUAAGCGGAGGA